rnacentral:rRNA from 1 species
CCGUUGGAGGUAGGGGAAUAACGAACAAGAAGUAAAGUUUGUAGUACUUAAAUACCGCAUAAUGCAGCUGAGUCGCAUGGCUCUGGCUGCCAAAGAUUUAUCGCUCUGAGAUGGACUCGCGUCUGAUUAGCUAGUUGGCGGGGUAACGGCCCACCAAGGCGACGAUCAGUAGCCGGACUGAGAGGUUGGCCGGCCACAUUGGGACUGAGACACGGCCCAGACUCCUACGGAAGGCAGCAG